CCUGGGGCGCCAUCAGCUCCAGAAUUUCUCUUUUACAGCCUAAGCAAGACCUGAAGAACCUCGGGGCUCCGAGCCCCUGGUUCUCCUCCACCACCACUCUCCGCAUUGCACCCCGGCCCACCUUUUCACCCCACCCACCCCGUUCUCGGUUCAAGGGUGUCCUGGAGGGCUGUAACCUACCGGUCGAUUUAACAGACUGCCCCCUGUUCCUGCUCCUCCUCCUGGUCCUCCCCGCUCUCGCUCUCGCUCUCGCCGCCUCUCCCAGUCCCGGCACCCAGACCUGGCGGAGCGCAGCUCCUGCCGCCCUGCGCGCCGCGCUCCCGGCCGGGUCUGCCGCAGCCCGGGGGCACCGCGCGGGCAAAGGGCGCCCGAGGGGCCAGCGCACCGGCUCGGCGAGCCCUGGAGCCGGGUGCGGUGAGAAGCGGCGCUUUGGUAACGCUCGGGAGCAGAAGGAGCGGCUCGGAGUGAGACUUCUGGAACCAGAGGACGCCCGGGUUCGCCCAGGGCGCGGCGGCUGCGCGCUCCGUCCACAAGGUGAAAGAACAUGGCUUUUUCAUUCAGACUAUAGCAUACAGUACUGUGGUUUUUCUAUUUACCCACACAAAAUGGAACCCAAGAGACGACACAGCUGAGGAAAUUACAGAGUCUUUACCAAUGAAAGACAUUCAAGUCUGCGUAGUUUUCAGCUGAAACAAAUAACCACCAGCUUCUCCACAGCAUAGAUUAGAACAGGGGAAAAUGAACAUCACUAACUGUACCCCGGAAGCCAGUGUGGCUGUGAGACCCAAGACCAUUACGGAGAAGAUGCUCAUUUCUAUGACUCUGGUGAUCAUCACCACCCUGACCAUGCUGCUAAACUCCGCCGUGAUCAUGGCCAUCUGCACCACCAAGAAGCUCCACCAGCCUGCCAACUACCUGAUCUGUUCUCUAGCCGUGACGGAUCUCCUGGUGGCUGUGCUUGUCAUGCCCUUGAGCAUCAUGUACAUUGUCAUGGACAGCUGGAAGCUGGGGUACUUCAUCUGCGAGGUGUGGCUGAGUGUGGAUAUGACCUGCUGCACCUGCUCCAUCCUUCAUCUCUGUGUGAUCGCCCUGGACAGGUACUGGGCCAUCACCAAUGCUAUCGAGUACGCCAGGAAGAGGACUGCCAAGAGGGCCGGGCUGAUGAUCCUCACGGUCUGGACCAUCUCCAUCUUCAUCUCCAUGCCCCCUCUGUUCUGGAGGAGCCACCGCAGACUCAGCCCGCCCCCCAGUCAGUGCACCAUCCGGCACGACCACGUCAUCUACACCAUCUACUCCACACUUGGGGCAUUCUACAUUCCCUUGACUUUGAUACUGAUUCUCUAUUACCGGAUUUACCAUGCAGCCAAGAGCCUUUACCAGAAAAGAGGUUCAAGCCGGCAUUUAAGCAACAGAAGCACAGAUAGCCAAAAUUCGUUCGCCAGUUGCAAACUGACACAGACGUUCUGUGUGUCUGACUUCUCCACCUCAGACCCUACCACAGAGUUUGAGAAGAUCCACACCUCCAUUAGGAUUCCUCCCUUUGACAAUGACCUAGAUUACCCAGGAGAACGCCAACAAAUCUCCAGCACCAGGGAGCGCAAGGCAGCACGAAUCCUGGGUCUGAUUUUGGGUGCGUUCAUCUUAUCCUGGCUGCCAUUCUUCAUCAAAGAGUUGAUCGUAGGUCUGAGCACCUAUGCUGUGUCCUCCGAAGUGGCUGAUUUUUUGACCUGGCUUGGUUAUGUGAAUUCUCUGAUCAACCCUCUGCUCUACACAAGUUUCAAUGAAGACUUUAAACUGGCUUUUAAAAAGCUUAUUCGGUGCCGAGAACAUACUUAGAUUGUAAAAACUCAGAAGGCUUGACUUUUAGCAGCCUCGUGAGUGCACAGGGGUAAGGGAUAUAGCUUAUAAAUUCUUGAACAUAGUUGGUUCAGGAGAGUUUGUGAGUACGUGUGGUCUUGUUUUGUCUUUUUUUUUCUUUUCCUGUUUUGUUAUUUCAUGUGCUGUUUUCUACCUCUGGUCUUAUUUGUGGUACAUAAUUUCAAACAAACACUAUCAAACAAAAACAGAAAUUUCAUAGCAGUAAUAAUAGGCUGAAAUAGUACAUACUUUUUAUUUCUUUAGCCAUUUCAGUUAACCCAGCAAUUAAAGAAUGCCAAAAUAAAUCUUCAUUUGCAGAAUUCUUUAUUACUUAUGUAUCAAAUACACGAUGACCUGCCUUGGUGUGUGGCAUUAAUUCUGAGGUUAUGGAUCCAAACGCUUAAAAAUUCCAUUGGGUAUUGCAUGAUAACAUAAAGGAUUUUUUUUUAAGUUGUGCGGUGUCAUCUACUGCUUGCAGAUCUGACCUGAAGUCAUUCCUUAUGACUACAUGGCCUGCACCUUUCUGGCAGUAUAGCUGCCUCUUAGUGCUCUUAGUUCACGAUUAAAUAAGCAUCUUCAUUCUCUAAAAAGAACCUAGAAUGAAUGUGCUAAUACUUUCCUAGGCCUUUGACUAUGAAUGUGAAACAUAAGCAAAUAAUAUUAUGAAACAAUUAUCAAAACUGGUCACUUUGUUGUUGACACAUCGGGCCUCCUCUAGUUCUCAGAAGCAUCACAGCAAAACUUCGGAUACACUCUCCCAUUCUAGCAGGAUUAAAGUGGGAGCACAUGCCAAACUGGAGAACUUUUAAAGCAACAUUAAGCUACUGUACCCAUUAAGGGAUGUAUUGAUCAGAUGAGGGAAUACAUUACCUGAAGAACUUUGUUGGAGAAAGUUACUCAUUAAAUUAUCAGUUGUGCAUAUGGAAAAAAAAUUAAACACUGAAACAUCUAUGUUUAUAGCAGAAACCACCCAGCAGGAAGUGAGUAUGAAAUUGUGUCUCCUGGAACCCCAGUGGCUUCCGUGCCAGACUGCUGUGUGGGUCCAGGAGGCUGCAGGCAGGACCCAAGGCCACGCAAUGUGUGGCUGACCAGGACCAAUGGCUCCAGUCCCUUGGAGGAGCUCACCGCUAAGUCAAGAGUGCUGACAGAAGGGACUGAAAGUGCGUAAAUUCUUGCACAUUCCUCAGUAAGUGACUGUUGUAGAGCUGGGCUCCCCACCUCUCAUCCACGACCUCUCCCACUUCUUCACAUCCCCCAGAUUGCAUCUCUUCUUUGUUGAGAAGACAUUGGUUUCUCAACCAUCUGCACCUCCAUGUUUUACUCCUUAAUUCCAUCCCCUCUCAACUUUUCUAUAAUCUUGCCCCUUUCUCUCAGUCUCUCCCUCUCCUUUUCAAUCUCCUUCCCAUCACCGCUUCCUCUCCCCCCUCUUCUUUACUCUCAGCCAUCAAUUUGCUCGAGUCUUUUUUUGCACUAGGACGGAGUCCUCCACCUGUAGUACCUCCUUAUGCUCCUUCAUCUCUCUCCUCGUUCUCCCACCUGAGUCUCCAGUUAUCCACCCAUUUGUUCUGCCUCCAGUUCUCACCUGCCACUGCCUAUUCUCUCUUUUGCCAUCUGGGUAUGCCUGUCCCAAUUCCCCCAAAACUGAUCUCCCAAAGGUUACUGGGGACUUGCCAAUGGGCAAAUCUAGUGACCUUCCCUCUGUCCUUAUCUAACUUCCUGUUCUCAUCAGUUCAAACAGUUAGCCAUCCCUUUCUUGUUUAAGCCCGUGCCUUCUAGGAUCCUUUACUUUCUCACUUCUCUAGUUACCUUCUCAUUCUUUGCCUCCUUUUCUUCAUUCUGGGAGUUAACCAUCAGUUCUUACUUCCUGUAUAUUCAUACUCCAUUCCAACCUCCAUCAUUUCCACAAAUAUUUCCUUGCCUGAGGCUCUAAAAUAUGUUUCUCUGAUUGUGAUCUGUCUCGUUCUCACACCAUAACCCAUGAAUUAAGUCUGGUGGACAUCUCCUUGUGAACACUGUCAGUGCCUCAAACACAGCCCUUCUAAACUGAACUCAUGAUUGUUUUCCUGCACUCAAACCUUCUCCUUUCUACCUUCUCAGUCUCAGACAACAGGAUUUUGUUUUAUUUAUUUGGGGGCUGCACUAGGUCUUUAUUAUAGCACAUGGGCUUUCUCCAGAUGCAGUUCAUGGACUUACUUGCUCCCAGGCAUGUGGGGUCUUAGUUCCCUGACCAGAGAUUGAACCUGCAUCCCCUGCAUUGGAAGGAAGAUUCUUCAUUUGUUUUUUCUUUUUGUUUUCUUUUUUGGGGUGGAGGGAGCUGUGCUGAGUCUUCAUUGCAGUACGUGGGCUUUCUCUAGUUGUGGCAAAGGAAGCUACCGUCUAGUGGUGGUGUGUGGGUUUCUGAUUGCCAUGGCUUCUCUUGCAGAGCAUGGGCUUUAGGGUGUGUGGACUUCAGUAGUUGUGGCCCAUGGGCUCAGUAGUUGCGGCUCCCAGGUUCUAGGGCACAGGCUCAGUAGUUGUGGUGUAUCGGCUUAGUCGCUCCACGGGAUCUUCCCGGACCAGGGAUUGAACCCAUUUCUCUUGCAUUGGCAAGCAGAUUCUUAACCACUAGAUUACUAGGGAAGUCCCAGACAACAGGAUUGCCAUUCAUUUUAUCAUUCACAUUAGAUAAAUGAGAUUCUCUCUCUUUGUGGUUUGUCUUUCACAUCCAUACAGUAUAAAAGUUUUAUUACCCAUUUAUCUCUGUAGAAAUGUUUGUAUAUGCACCCUCCUUCUUCAAUAACUUGGUCCUCUCCCCUGGACCAAUCUUCUUAUCUGAUCCACCUACCUCUGGACUCCUCAUCUACAACUCUGCCCCUGCUCACCUUCCAGAUAUACAUCUUCCUAGAGCAAUAGUUCUCAAAGCAACAUCUCCAGACCAGCCAUGUUAGUUUCACUUGGGGACUUGUUAGAAAAGCAAAGUCUAGGGCCCCACUGAAAACCUACCAAGUCAGAAAUUUCAAGGCAAGGGGCAUCCAUCUCUGUCUUAACAAGCCUUCCAGGAGACUCUGGUGCAUGCUAACAUUUAAUAAUCACUCUCCUAGAAUGUCCUGUUGAUUUUUAAUAUCAGCACUCAAAAUCCCCCACUAUUUUCCCAUCAGUAUAAGAUAAAUUAAAAUUCCUAAAUAUAACGUUCAAGGCUUCUUCACCAUGUGGCCUCAAGCCACCUUUCCAAAGCUAAGUUUCAGCACUUCUUCUCACUCCCAUCAUAUUCCAGAAAAAUCUGGAUAUUUCCUGUGUUUUCUGAGCCUUCCUAACAUUUUGCCCCCACUGCUUCAGAAACCUGACCCCAUAAGUUUCCAUCUUUCUUCCUCCAAUCCUUCAUCAUGGAGUGCAAACACGAUCUCUUCUGCAAAGUCUUCGUAAGAAGAUUGUCUAUCACCAUAAAAUUCCUCUCUCUGGGGUCUGUGCUCCCUGGAACCUCAUGGGGACCUCUGUUAUUAUAAGUGCUUCCUAUCUUGUUGCGCGUUUGUUUGUGUAUUUCUGCUGUCUGCCCCCAGUAGAUUGUGAGCUCCUUGAGGACAGGAACUGUGUCUGUUUUAUCUCUGUAUCCUUAAGAACUCCAACAGUGUUUUACACACAGUAGGCACUCAAUAAAUAUCUCUUAAUGUGAAUGAAAUUAUGUCCCCAGAAAAAAAUGUAAGUGUGCAAUGUUCUCUCAGUGAGAAAACCAAACUUAAAAUCUCAUGAUGCAAUACACACUUCCUUUUUCUUUAAUAUUUACCCUCUCAUCCCAGCUUUGUUCAAAAACUGCUAGGAAUGCUUCCACAUGAGAAUAAAAUUAAUUUCUCAUGCCGC
ensembl:lncRNA